CCUACGGGAGGCAGCAGUGGGGAAUAUUGGACAAUGGGGGGAACCCUGAUCCAGCGACGCCGCGUGAGUGAAGAAGUAUUUCGGUAUGUAAAGCUCUAUCAGCAGGGAAGAAAGAAAUGACGGUACCUGACUAAGAAGCCCCGGCUAACUACGUGCCAGCAGCCGCGGUAAUACGUAGGGGGCAAGCGUUAUCCGGAUUUACUGGGUGUAAAGGGAGCGUAGACGGCGAUGCAAGUCUGAAGUGAAAGGCGGGGGCCCAACCCCCGGACUGCUUUGGAAACUGUAUGGCUGGAGUGAAGGAGAGGUAAGUGGAAUUCCUAGUGUAGCGGUGAAAUGCGUAGAUAUUAGGAGGAACACCAGUGGCGAAGGCGGCUUACUGGACUGUAACUGACGUUGAGGCUCGAAAGCGUGGGGAGCAAACAGGAUUAGAUACCCGAGUAGUC
rnacentral:rRNA from 1 species